rnacentral:misc_RNA from 1 species
UUCCAUUUCUGCUACCCUUAUCUACAUUCCUUGCAGUCAAACUUAUUGGGAUAUCUUGAGCAUUUGUAAACUAAACAAAGGAUUUCCUGGUGUAUUGGCUGGAGUAACUGUUUUUGAUGGAACAGUUGGUGUAUGCCAUGUUGGAGGUGCUUGAGUAUGUGCAAGUUGUGGUGUAAGUUGUGAUGUUAUAUGAGAUGCUCUUGCCAUAGAUGGAUGUGUGUAAAAUCCUGCCGGAC